GAAGAAGAACUAGAGAAGUAUUUAGAUAACUCUUUUUUAUGAUGAAAAAUGAUAACAUACGAGGAAAGGGAUAAUAAGAUCAGGCUGAGGUGUGAUGAGGAAAGAGAACUAAAGCCUUUUCUGGAAGUGAUGUCAGAAAAGCAAGUGAAAAAGGAAAACAGAUUUGAACUAUACUGGUAUAAAGCUAACAUAAAACAGACAUAAGUCAGAAGAGCAGAGUUGCAUCCAUGUGCACUGGCAGAGCCAGGCCAUACCUCCAAGUGGGAGGAGAUCUGCAGGAGUUUAUAAAGGCUGUUCAACGCUGCUUUUUCUCCCCUUUCCCAUCUAGGCCUCUCCUGCCAUUGACUGUGAAUUCAGAGGUUUAUGGGACAACUAGCACACUGUGGAGGAAACCAUGCAUACUCCCCAGUAUGGAGAUGGGACUCAGACACGGAAUCUCUGGAGCCAGGUUAUGUCCUUCAGGCUCAAAAGCUCAAGGGAGACAUAAAAAUCUGGUGAAAAUGACCAGAAGCCAGCUCCUCCCCUGGCAUGUGCAAAGGACAGAUGGAUCCUGCUCGGUUUGGACUCCAGUUGUCACCCAGCAGCUGACUUGGAUGUGAUUUUCCCCUUAAACUCCUCCUGGACAAAAGAUGAACAUGAUGCAUCAUAAAAGUUGUGAACUGAAAAUGAAAACAAGAAGACAGAAUUGAAGAGCCUGAAUUGAAGAAAAUCCAGUGAUCAAUACCAUAGCAUAAUAUUACAGUGUUCAUAGGUAUAAAAACUGUUGGAACAGAAAUUAUUUAUUACUCCAGAGCGGCAUAAUUUACAUAUGUGAAAAUAGAGCUACCUUAAAGGGAAAGACUAAAGCCAAAUUAUAUGUCCAAUUCUGCUUAAGGGAGAACAUUUUUCUUCUCUGGGCCAGCUGGCCAUAACUUGACAAGAUUAGUGAAGACUAGCAGGUUUUUAAGGCAUCAAAAGUGAUACUAAAAGAGAUGUUUGUCAUGUACUUUCUGUACAUCUUAAUUUCUCUUUCUCACCUUUAGCUAUCUGUAGUAACUCCCUUGAAGUUUAAGAGUACGGUAUUUCUCUGCUUAGAUUAUCCUUUUCCAGAUAGUACAUACAAUUUAUCCUUUUUUACCUCAUCCCUGCUAUGUCUCAUUCAUUACAUCAGAGCCUAGACUGUCUCUAACUUUUUGUUUCUUCCUUCCAAAUGCAGGAUUAUUACUGAAGAUGUCAGCAGAGACACAGCAAGAUAAGGAAAAAGCCCAACAGAGUAGAACAUCCCCAAAUGGGAGAACAGCAAAAAACAGGAAGCUGUUCUCAGAAAAAUGCUUUGCUCAUUCAGAGAAUUCUGUUGCAUUAUUGGUUUUGUCAUAGACUUUGUUGGCUUUUGAUCAUUUAAUCAUUUGGUGCCUCUACUUCCUCCUUAAACUAGGAUUAUUCUUAGUAAUGGUGGUUAUUUAUAGCAGUGUUGGAGUCUGAAAAAAGUAAUGUUUUUCUGCUACUGCAACUGAAGAUUCUACACAGAGGGCUAACACCUUCCUUUCUGGUUUUCAACUGGCGCUCCAGUCUCCUUCACAAAAGAAGGAUGUGAACAGAAGAGACUAGAGAUAUUUGAAUGGCACCAAGAGCAACUUUCUGUGGAUUUUUUGAGUUCCUAAAUGAAUUGAUACAGGCUGCAAACACAGGCCUUUCAGGAUCGUUGUCAGCAAACACCAACAAGACAGAAACAUAAUUGUAUAUUCACCCACAAAAAAUUAGUUUGAAGAUUCUGUGUCCUUUCAUCUGGGGAACGUGAAUUUUAAAUUCACUUUUGGAAGUAUUUGUACUGGGUGAUUAAGGCUUACACUCCUUCAAAUAUGGAAUAGAAACACUACCUCUAAUUGUGUUAUAACUUCAUGGGUCUCUUGUGAAUAGCAAACUGCUGAUAAAAGCAGUCUUGUAAAAAUAUCAUCAAAUAAUUUUGGAUACCAAAGUGAUCUGUAGCAAUCAGAAUCUGCUAGUGGCUGUGUCUACAAAGAAUAAAGAGAAGACCAUCAGACA
ensembl:lncRNA